AGNAACACGUGGGCAAUCUGCCCUGCACUUCGGGAUAAGCCUGGGAAACUGGGUCUAAUACCGGAUAGGACCUUUAGACGCAUGUCUUUUGGUGGAAAGCUUUUGCGGUGUGGGAUGGGCCCGCGGCCUAUCAGCUUGUUGGUGGGGUGAUGGCCUACCAAGGCGACGACGGGUAGCCGGCCUGAGAGGGUGUCCGGCCACACUGGGACUGAGAUACGGCCCAGACUCCUACGGGAGGCAGCAGUGGGGAAUAUUGCACAAUGGGCGCAAGCCUGAUGCAGCGACGCCGCGUGGGGGAUGACGGCCUUCGGGUUGUAAACCUCUUUCACCAUCGACGAAGGUCCGGGUUUUCUCGGAUUGACGGUAGGUGGAGAAGAAGCACCGGCCAACUACGUGCCAGCAGCCGCGGUAAUACGUAGGGUGCGAGCGUUGUCCGGAAUUACUGGGCGUAAAGAGCUCGUAGGUGGUUUGUCGCGUUGUUCGUGAAAUCUCACGGCUUAACUGUGAGCGUGCGGGCGAUACGGGCAGACUAGAGUACUGCAGGGGAGACUGGAAUUCCUGGUGUAGCGGUGGAAUGCGCAGAUAUCAGGAGGAACACCGGUGGCGAAGGCGGGUCUCUGGGCAGUAACUGACGCUGAGGAGCGAAAGCGUGGGGAGCGAACAGGAUUAGAUACCCUGGUAGUCCACGCCGUAAACGGUGGGUACUAGGUGUGGGUUUCCUUCCUUGGGAUCCGUGCCGUAGCUAACGCAUUAAGUACCCCGCCUGGGGAGUACGGCCGCAAGGCUAAAACUCAAAGGAAUUGACGGGGGCCCGCACAA
rnacentral:rRNA from 1 species